ACGAACGCUGGCGGCGUGCUUAACACAUGCAAGUCGAACGGUGAAGCGCCUUCCUUUUUGGUGGGUGUGGAUGAGUGGCGAACGGGUGAGUAACACGUGAGUAACCUGCCCCCUUCUUCUGGAUAACCGCAUGAAAGUGUGGCUAAUACGGGAUAUUCUGGGUCUGUCGCAUGAUGGGUCUGGGAAAGAUAUUGUUUCGGUGGGGGAUGGGCUCGCGGCCUAUCAGCUUGUUGGUGGGGUGAUGGCCUACCAAGGCGGUGACAGGUAGCCGGCCUGAGAGGGUGGACGGUCACACUGGGACUGAGACACGGCCCAGACUCCUACGGGAGGCAGCAGUGGGGAAUAUUGCACAAUGGGCGCAAGCCUGAUGCAGCGACGCCGCGUGAGGGAUGGAGGCCUUCGGGUUGUGAACCUCUUUCGCCAGUGAAGCAGGCCUGCCUCGUUUGUGGGUGGGUUGACGGUAGCUGGAUAAGAAGCGCCGGCUAACUACGU
rnacentral:rRNA from 1 species